rnacentral:rRNA from 1 species
AUUGAACGCUGGCGGCAUGCCUUACACAUGCAAGUCGAACGGUAACAGGUCUUCGGAUGCUGACGAGUGGCGAACGGGUGCGUAAUACAUCGGAACGUGCCCGAUCGUGGGGGAUAACGGAGCGAAAGCUUUGCUAAUACCGCAUACGAUCUACGGAUGAAAGCAGGGGACCGCAAUGCCUUGCGCGGACGGAGCGGCCGAUGGCAGAUUAGGUAGUUGGUGGGAUAAAAGCUUACCAAGCCGACGAUCUGUAGCUGGUCUGAGAGGACGACCAGCCACACUGGGACUGAGACACGGCCCAGACUCCUACGGGAGGCAGCAGUGGGGAAUUUUGGACAAUGGGCGAAAGCCUGAUCCAGCCAUGCCGCGUGCAGGAUGAAGGCCUUCGGGUUGUAAACUGCUUUUGUACGGAACGAAAAGACUCUUUCUAAUAAAGAGGGUCCAUGACGGUACCGUAAGAAUAAGCACCGGCUAACUACGUG